rnacentral:rRNA from 1 species
UACGGGGGGGGCAAGCGUUGUUCGGAAUUACUGGGCGUAAAGGGCGCGUAGGCGGCCAUCUAAGUCAGACGUGAAAUCCCUCGGCUCAACCGAGGAACUGCGUCUGAUACUGGAAGGCUUGAAUUCGGGAGAGGGAUGCAGAAUUCCAGGUGUAGCGGUGAAAUGCGUAGAUAUCUGGAGGAAUACCGGUGGCGAAGGCGGCAUCCUGGACCGACAUUGACGCUGAACGGCGAAAGCUAGGGGAGCAAACGGG